rnacentral:rRNA from 1 species
GACGAACGCUGGCGGCGUGCUUAACACAUGCAAGUCGAACGGAAAGGCCCUGCUUUUGUGGGGUGCUCGAGUGGCGAACGGGUGAGUAACACGUGAGUAACCUGCCCUUGACUUUGGGAUAACUUCAGGAAACUGGGGCUAAUACCGGAUAGGAGCUCCUGCUGCAUGGUGGGGGUUGGAAAGUUUCGGCGGUUGGGGAUGGACUCGCGGCUUAUCAGCUUGUUGGUGGGGUAGUGGCUUACCAAGGCUUUGACGGGUAGCCGGCCUGAGAGGGUGACCGGCCACAUUGGGACUGAGAUACGGCCCAGACUCCUACGGGAGGCAGCAGUGGGGAAUGUUGCACACUGGGCGGAAGCCUGCUGCAGCAACGCCGCGUGCGGGAUGACGGCCUUCGGGUUGUAAACCGCUUUCGCCUGUGACGAAGCGUGAGUGACGGUAAUGGGUAAAGAAGCACCGGCUAACUACGUG